UUUAUGUCUUUGAUUCUGUUCUCAUUUGUUUGUCUACAAUGCCAUGAAAGAUAUUAGUUACUGUUUAUAGGUCUCUCCUUCUUCGUCUUAUACUAUAUAGGGAAUCUGAUUGCAUAUGAACCGAUGAUAAAUAAUAAUAAUCUUAAAAGGCUAUAAACAAUGUUCUCUCAUCCAUUCCACUUUCUAUACAAGAUCUUGACUUGCAGAUUUGGUUCAUAUUCACACUAACUGACAUUCUGUCUGCUGAUGCAGUUUUCAAGCUAAUCAAUAUAUUCCUCUUCCAAGCCACUCUCUUGUGUGAUGAAUGACAACGUAGUGGAGUUGUUCUACCAUCUCCUACUACUGUGGUCAUUUCACUGAUAUUUUAUUCUUGAGUUUCUUAAUUCAAGGGACUUGUCAGCCAUUUGGGACUUAUAUAUGUCCAACACAUAUAACAAUCCCACUUUCUGCACCAUAAAUGAUACAUAAUAAGUCAUAUUCAAACCCACAUUGGCAAUGAGAGAAAGUCUCUGUUACCAUGUUUCACUUUCAAGCCAUGUGGAGUUUGCUAGGGAAGGAAGGUCGCUUCAGUUCAAUACAGGUAUCUCAUCAUGUUGGGUAGCUGAAAGAGUUUUGUUGUUGUGGAGUCCUGCUUGUUUAUAACUGUGUUUUGAUUCACAUGUUUCCUGGUUCAUGUCCAAAAAGGGUUCUGCAGAUUUCCUGUUGUUGGAAUAACUAGAUAGUUGAAAUAGCAAUGAUCUUGUUCAUGCUGAUUCACCUAAUUUAGUUUAUCUGAAGAUUAAGUCAAAGAUAUUCUCAAAGAUCUAUCUGCCACAAUAUUAUAUAGGUGAAAUCGUCAAACUUUUAGACUUUUAUGCAGAGUUUAAUUAUUGUUAUUACUUUUCACUAUUAUCUUAAGUUUUGGGGGUGGGCAUCUGUAAUCUGUGUGCUGUUCACAUCCAUCAGUCUGAGUCUACAGUUUAUCUUUCUGUGUUGUUAAAUAGUUUUGGGAGAGCUCUUGUGUGUUUUUUGUUUUUCUGAAAAAGAUAGGGAAAAUUUUGAAGAUUUAAGGGAUAAGUCAGUGUUUCCUCAAUGUUAAGUGCUAUCAAUUUAGAAUAAGUACAAAAGGCUUAGGACAAAUAGCAGAUCUAAAGGCGUUUGUCUAUGGAUAGCUUUUAUGUUCUUUAUUGGAACUCCUUUUAAAGACCUGACGUACCAACCCCAACCAUGUGUUUUAGAGUUAUGCACAGCUUUUUAUGAUGCUUUUGUUAUGACUAUUCUAUUGUGGAUCCUAUUCUUACGUAUAUAUUCAUGCAGAGAUCUUCGUACUUUUCGGGUCAGGCCAUGUGACUUACUUUUCAUGCAAAAAGCUUCCCCAGUCUUUUGUCUUUAAACUCUUAUACUUUCGUGAAAAGAUCCAACACUUUAGCCAGUUUGUUUUAGCUACCACCUUCUUAAAAGCAACAAUGUUGUUUUGACAGCCUUUCAAAUUUUCUUGUCUUCUGUUUGAUGCUUGAUGGUGAGGCAGAACGAUAAACUCAAAGAACAUGGCGAGUGGCAUGGAAAUUUCUUAGCUAGUGGCCUCUAAGCUCAUGGGCUAUGUAUAUGGGGAUUUCAGUUUGGGCUUUGCUAUAUUGGGUUUAACAAAACUGAGGUAUAAUCAGAGAAAGCAAAUGAUAUUAAUACCUCAAAGGAGGUGGAGACACAAAAACUUGUGAACAAAAAUGGAAAAAGAGAUGUAAUCCUUCUUGAAAUUCCUGUCACAACUUUCGUAACUUGUUGGAAUUUCUUUCAAGAACCUCAAUGAUGCUAAUCAUAUCCGAAAACGCGCAUUCUGGUUUCCUCUGACUUGUGUAAGUACCAAGAUUUAAGUAUUAAAACUACAGAUAAGCCCUACGCACCUUAUUAAAGGUAUAUUCACGUUUAUGUAAAAUAGGUAAUUAAAGGGUUAACUAUGUUCAUUGGUGGCAUAGAAAGUCCGAGAAUUUAGACGCGUUGGUUAGAAACUUAGGAGAAGAAGCAAUUCAGUUGUUUAGCUGACAUUUACAACCAAGUUGUUUUUUUUUUUUAAUAAGAGGAAGAGAACGGUUUAAGUGACAUCACAUAUUUCAUAAUUAAUACUUUUGUAAGAACCUAGUGUCUUCCUUAAUUUUUUAGUAUUUUGUGUACCUGCUUCCUCUAUUCGAGACUGUGGUCCACUCUGUGAGGAACCCUAAUGCAACAAGCAAUUCAAAUCCCUCUUUCCCUAAAUUUAAUUAAUACUUUUGUAAGAGUUCUCGUUUUUUAAUCCCUAUUUGAAAGUUCGUAGGCUUGUAUAUCUCGUAGCUAGGUAUACACGAUGAUACCCGCAAGCUUAAACCAUUUUAAACUCUAGGAUACAUGUUCAUGGGAUUAUUUCACUUUGAUACGAUGAAUCGAAACCCUACACGUUCCGGAUGCUUGUAUAAUGAAACUGACAAAAUGGCUUCAUUAAUAGGCUUCUGAUAUGGCUCUAUAUCCUCUACAUGAAAAAAUUAAUAGUUACUUGCAUGUUGGUCUAAAUGAAAGUUGUAUUUGUUGGGUAAUCUAGGCAAUGGUAAUUUGUCAAGCUUCAUGCGUAUUCAUAUGUUUAUACUUGCAGUGAAUGAAUAAUGAGUUAAAUGACAAUUUGGUAUUGAGAAUCCAUACAAAAGCUUCAUUUUCACCUACAGGUACUGCCUACACUAAAAUAUCUUCUGGAAACUGACAGAUUCUGAUGCCCUCAUUUGGUAAAACAUUUCUUGUUUGAUUUUUCUAUGUUUCUUGAUAUGAUGUCUUUCAGUUUGAAACUCUGCACGAAACCUGUGAUCUUCAUUAUAUAGAAGACACAGAAGAAAAGGACAAACUCAAAAUAUGCCAUUGGCUGAUUUUUUUUAGGCCGAGGGAGAAAGUCUUUUAGGUUUUGAAGAUGGUGGAGAUUUAGAUAAUUUUCUGCACCCACCUA